CCCUUAGAUGUCCUGGGCCGCACGCGCGUUACACUGAUGCAUUCAACGAGCUUAUAACCUUGGCCGAGAGGCCCGGGCAAUCUUGUUAACGUGCAUCGUGAUAGGGAUAGAUUAUUGAAAUUAUUAAUCUUGAACGAGGAAUUCCUAGUAAACGCAGAUCAUCAAUCUGCAUUGAUUACGUCCCUGCCCUUUGUACACACCGCCCGUCGCACCUACCGAUUGGAUGGUCCGGUGAAGCCUCGGGAUUGUGGUUCUUGCCGCUUUAUUGUGGCGUGACCGCCAGAACUUGUCUAAACCUUAUCAUCUAGAGGAAGGUGAAGUCGUAACA
rnacentral:rRNA from 1 species